UACGGGGGGGAGCAAGCGUUGUUCGGAUUUACUGGGCGUAAAGGGCGCGUAGGCGGCCACCGCAAGUCGACUGUGAAAUCUCCGGGCUUAACCCGGAAAGGUCAGCCGAUACUGCGGGGCUAGAGUGCAGAAGGGGCAACUGGGAAUUCUCGGUGUAGCGGUGAAAUGCGUAGAUAUCGAGAGGAACACCUGCGGCGAAGGCGGGUUGCUGGGCUGACACUGACGCUGAGGCGCGAAAGCUAGGGGAGCGAACGGG
rnacentral:rRNA from 1 species